AUCCAGCUGACGAGUCCCAAAUCGGACAAAACGCAGUCCUGGAU
rfam:Schistosoma mattheei strain Denwood, Zambia genome assembly, scaffold: SMTD_scaffold0000390